rnacentral:rRNA from 1 species
GUCCUAGCCUUAAACGAUGAAUGCUUGGUGUGACGGGUACCCAAUCCCGCCGUGCCGGAGCUAACGCGAUAAGCAUUCCGCCUGGGGAGUACGAUCGCAAGGCUGAAACUCAAAGGAAUUGACGGGGGCCCCGCACAAGCGGUGGAGCAUGUGGUUCAAUUCGACGCAACGCGAAGAACCUUACCUGGGCUCGAAGCGCAGUGGACCGGGUGGAAACAUCCCUUUCUCGCAAGAGACUGCUGCGGAGGUGCUGCAUGGCUGUCGU